rnacentral:rRNA from 1 species
CCAAUAGCGUAUAUUAAAGUUGUUGCAGUUAAAAAGCUCGUAGUUGAAUUUCGGGAUCAAUAUGUUGGUCGUGCCAUUGGUACGUACUGGCAUUAUUGGUUCCUACCUUCUGAAGAACCUCGAUGUCAUUAAUUUGGUGUCUUGGGGAAUCAGGACUGUUACUUUGAAAAAAUUAGAGUGUUUAAAGCAAGCUCGCGCUUGAAUACAUUAGCAUGGAAUAAUGAAAUAGGACGUUUGAUUCUAUUUUGUUGGUUUCUAGGAUCGACGUGAUGAUUAAUAGGGAUAGUUGGGGUCAUUAGUAUUCAAUUGUCAGAGGUGAAAUUCUUGGAUUUAUUGAAGACUAACUACUGCGAAAGCAUUUGCCAAGGAUGUUUUCAUUAAUCAAGAACGAAAGUUAGGGGAUCGAAGACGAUCAGAUACCGUCGUAGUCUUAACCAUAAACUAUGCCGACUAGGGAUCGGAUGAUGUUAAUUUUUUAAUGACUCAUUCGGCGCCUUACG